UUUUUCUUUUUUAUUUUUUUUACAUUUCAUCUGUGUCUUCUGUGGGCACUGGCUUUUUAAAUCAUGUUUAUUUUAUGUGCUCUCCUGGUAGCCAGUGAAGAGGAGACACUUACCCCAUUCCACAGACCACCAGCCACACAGCCAGCCUAGGACAAAAGCAUUUAGCAGGCUCUGGGAUGACCUAUGAAGAAACAUCUCAAGGAGAAGGUUUCCUGGCGGUGAAUCAGACAGUUCCUAGACCCAGGCGCUGUGGGGCAGAGGAAAGGCCCCUCUCCUGGCAGCAGGGGUAGGAUGGACCCCUCUAGACCUGGGAGGAGUGAAACCUCAGGGCCCCAGCCCCUGGCCCAGUGCCUUAUCCACAGGAUGCCCUCAGGACGCCACACCAGCCUCCUCAUCCACUGUCCCUCUCACUGGUUCACAAAUGGGGGUCUCCAGUUAACUUCUGCUGUUGUUGUUUGUUUGUUGUAUUUUUUUUUCUUCUUCUUUUUUUCUCUCUGUCACCCAGGCUGGAGUGCAGUGGUGCAAUCUCGGCUCACUGCAACCUCUGCCUCUGCGGUUCAAGCGAUUCUCGUGCCUCAGCUUCCCAGUAACUGGGAUUACAGGUGCCCGCCUCACACCCAGCUAAUUUUUUGUAUUUUUAGUAGAGACAAGGUUUCACCAGUUUGGCCAAGCUGGUCUCGAACUCCUGACCUCAGGUGAUAUGCCCACCUCGGCCUCUCAAAGUGCUGGGAUUACAGGUGUGAGCCACCGCGCCCAGCUGCUUUUUGUUUGUUUGUUUUUGAGACAGUCUUGCUCUUUUGCCCAGGUUGGAAUGAAGUGGUGCAAUCUCGCCACUGCAACCUCCACCACCUCCUGGUUGAAGUGAUUCUCCUGCCUCAGCCUCCCGAGUAGCUGGAAUGACAAGCACCCAGCAUCAUGCCCGGCUAAUUUUUGUAUUUUUGUAGAGACAGGGUUUCACCAUGUUUCACCAUGUUGGCCAGGCUAGUCUCAAACUCCUGAGUUCAGGUGAUCCACCCGCCUCAGACUCCCAAAGUGCUGAGAUUACAGGCAUGAGCCGUCGUGCCUGGCCUUUUUUUUUUUUUCCCCUUUUUUUAAAGGUUUGUCCAGAGAAAAAUAGGGAUGAGGGGAUGAGGCAGAGGGAAGGAAGAUCUUGGUGUGUCCUUGACCUGUGGAAGGGUGUGGGGAGGAGACAGACAAAUGGAUUUGAUGAGGGCCGUGGGGCCUGGGGGGCCUGGCUCUGCACCUUUAGUGACUAAGUACAGCCCAGAGUUGGAGACAGGACUCGCCCCUAACCUGUGCAAGGGGCCCAGCCCCACCUGGUGUGGUAAAUUAUCUGCUGUGUCCUCAGCUCCCGCCCCCUUAUGCUUGACUGCCCUCACCCCGGGCAGGUGGUCCCUUGCCUGGCCCAAGCUUUCUGCAGAAGGACUUGGCUGUGCUGCUGUCCCAGGGGGCGCCGUGGCAGACCAUCUAUGGGGAGUGUGAUGGCUGUGUGCACACUGGAGUCAGAAAUUGCCACAGCCAGGAGGAACACCUCACAGGAGCAUGGUUGCCUGCGGGAGGGGCUGAGGAAGCUCCCAAAUGGCUCUGUGGCAAAACCGUCAUCCUCACAGAGGACUAGAAAUCUCGCUGCAGGCCGGGCGUGGUGGCUCACGCCUGUAAUCCCAGCACUUUGGGAGGCCAAGAAGGGUGGAUCACACGGUCAGGGGAUCGAGACCACCCUGGCUAAUAC
ensembl:lncRNA